CCCCUCUCAGGACCGUAGCUGGAGGGUUUCCGGUACCCUCCCAGUCUCGACUAGGGGAGGGAGAUUCAAGCAGAGACGUAACCAUUCCAUUCCUAGCUUGGGCAGUGGCUAGCGAGGGGAAGGCCAUCUGCUACGCAU